ACGAACGCUGGCGGCGUGCCUAACACAUGCAAGUCGAGCGAGAAAGCCCGCAAGGGUGAGUAAAGCGGCGCACGGGUGCGUAACACGUGGGUAAUCUGCCCUAGAGUCCGGAAUAACUCGCCGAAAGGCGUGCUAAUGCCGGAUGAGACCACGGGAGCCUCGGCUCUCGCGGGAAAAGGUGGCCUCUGUACACAAGCCAUCGCUCUUGGAUGAGCCCGCGGCCCAUCAGCUCGUUGGCGGGGUAAUGGCCCACCAAGGCUACGACGGGUAGCUGGUCUGAGAGGACGAUCAGCCACACUGGAACUGAGACACGGUCCAGACUCCUACGGGAGGCAGCAGUGGGGAAUCUUGCGCAAUGGGCGAAAGCCUGACGCAGCAACGCCGCGUGUGUGAUGAAGGUCUUCGGAUCGUAAAGCACUGUCGCGAGGGACGAAUAAGGGCCGGGUUAACAGCCCGGUCCGAUGACGGUACCUCGAGAGGAAGCACCGGCUAACUCUGUGCCAGCAGCCGCGGUAAUACAGAGGGUGCAAGCGUUGUUCGGAAUUAUUGGGCGUAAAGCGCGUGUAGGCGGCUUGGCAAGUCGGAUGUGAAAGCCCUCGGCUUAACCGAGGAAGUGCGUUCGAAACUGCCUGGCUUGAGUACCGGAGAGGGUGGCGGAAUUCCCGGUGUAGAGGUGAAAUUCGUAGAUAUCGGGAGGAACACCAGCGGCGAAGGCGGCCACCUGGACGGAUACUGACGCUGAGACGCGAAAGCGUGGGUAGCAAACAGGAUUAGAUACCCUGGUAGUCCACGCUGUAAACGAUGAGCGCUAGGUGUUGUGGGUGUUGACCCCCGCAGUGCCGCAGCUAACGCAUUAAGCGCUCCGCCUGGGAAGUACGGCCGCAAGGCUAAAACUC
rnacentral:rRNA from 1 species